UGAGGAAUAUUGCACAAUGGGGGCAACCCUGAUGCAGCAACGCCGCGUGGAGGAUGAAGGUCCUUGGAUUGUAAACUCCUUUUCUGUGGGACGAGUGAGGACGGUACCGCAGGAAUAAGUCACGGCUAACUACGUGCCAGCAGCCGCGGUAAUACGUAGGUGGCGAGCGUUAUCCGGAAUUACUGGGCGUAAAGCGCACGCAGGCGGCUCCACAAGUCUGACGUGAAAUCUCCUGGCUUAACCGGGAGGGGUCGUUGGAAACUGUGGGGCUUGAGGCGAUGAGAGGGACAUGGAAUUCCCGGUGUAGUGGUGGAAUGCGUAGAUAUCGGGAGGAACACCAGAGGCGAAAGCGGUGUCCUGGCAUUGGCCUGACGCUCAUGUGCGAAAGCGUGGGGAGCGAACGGG
rnacentral:rRNA from 1 species